rnacentral:snRNA from 1 species
AUACUCUGGUUUCUCUUUGAGCGUAUAAAUCUUUUGCUUUUUACUAAAGAUUUCCGUGGAGAGAAAUAACAACAAGAUAUAAAGG